UCGAGGAUCUUUGGCAAUGAGCGCAAGCUUGACCAAGCGACGCCGCGUGUGCGAUGAAGGCCUUCGGGUUGUAAAGCACUGUCGAGGGGGAUCAAGAGCAAUUUGAGUGAUCCCUGGAGGAAGCACGGGCUAAGUUCGUGCCAGCAGCCGCGGUAAGACGAACCGUGCGAACGUUGUUCGGAAUCACUGGGCUUAAAGGGCGCGUAGGCGGCUUGCCAAGUCAGGGGUGAAAUCCUCCAGCUCAACUGGAGAAGUGCCUUUGAUACUGGCGAGCUCGAGGGAGGUAGGGGUGUGUGGAACUUCUGGUGGAGCGGUGAAAUGCGUUGAUAUCAGAAGGAACGCCGGUGGCGAAAGCGACGCACUGGACCUCUUCUGACGCUGAGGCGCGAAAGCUAGGGGAGCAAACGGGAUUAGAUACCCCGGUAGUCC
rnacentral:rRNA from 1 species